rnacentral:rRNA from 1 species
GAUGAACGCUGGCGGCGUGCCUAAUACAUGCAAGUCGAGCGAACGGACGAGAAGCUUGCUUUUCUGAUGUUAGCGGCGGACGGGUGAGUAAGACGUGGAUAACCAACCUAUAAGACUGGGAUAACUUCGGGAAACCGGAGCUAAUACCGGAUAAUAUGUUGAACCGCAGGGUUCAAAAGUGAAAGACGGUUUGGCUGUCACUUAUAGAUGGAUCCGCGCUGCAUUAGCUAGUUGGUAAGGUAACGGCUUACCAAGGCAACGAUGCAUAGCCGAGCUGAGAGGAUGAUCGGCCACACUGGAACUGAGACACGGUCCAGACUCCUACGGGAGGCAGCAGUAGGGAAUCUUCCGCAAUGGGCGAAAGCCUGACGGAGCCACGCCGCGUGAGUGAUGAAGGUCUUCGGAUCGUAAAACUCUUUUAUUAGGGAAGAACAUAUGUGUAAGUAACUGUGCACAUCUUGACGGUACCUAAUCAGAAAGCCACGGCUAACUACGUG